rnacentral:rRNA from 1 species
AUUGAACGCUGGCGGCAUGCCUUACACAUGCAAGUCGAACGGCAGCACGGGCUUCGGCCUGGUGGCGAGUGGCGAACGGGUGAGUAAUACAUCGGAACGUGCCCUGUAGUGGGGGAUAACUAGUCGAAAGAUUAGCUAAUACCGCAUACGACCUGAGGGUGAAAGCGGGGGACCGCAAGGCCUCGCGCUACAGGAGCGGCCGAUGUCUGAUUAGCUAGUUGGUGGGGUAAAAGCCUACCAAGGCGACGAUCAGUAGCUGGUCUGAGAGGACGAUCAGCCACACUGGGACUGAGACACGGCCCAGACUCCUACGGGAGGCAGCAGUGGGGAAUUUUGGACAAUGGGGGCAACCCUGAUCCAGCAAUGCCGCGUGUGUGAAGAAGGCCUUCGGGUUGUAAAGCACUUUUGUCCGGAAAGAAAUGGCUCUGGUUAAUACCUGGGGUCGAUGACGGUACCGGAAGAAUAAGCACCGGCUAACUACGUGCCAGCCGCCGCCGUAACAC